rnacentral:rRNA from 1 species
AGCGGCAGCGGGACCUUCGGGUUGCCGGCGAGCGGCGGACGGGUGAGUAAUGCCUAGGAAUCUGCCUGUUAGUGGGGGAUAACGCGGGGAAACUCGCGCUAAUACCGCAUACGUCCUACGGGAGAAAGUGGGGGACCUUCGGGCCUCACGCUAACAGAUGAGCCUAGGUCGGAUUAGCUGGUUGGUGGGGUAACGGCCCACCAAGGCGACGAUCCGUAACUGGUCUGAGAGGAUGAUCAGUCACACUGGAACUGAGACACGGUCCAGACUCCUACGGGAGGCAGCAGUGGGGAAUAUUGGACAAUGGGCGAAAGCCUGAUCCAGCCAUGCCGCGUGUGUGAAGAAGGUCUUCGGAUUGUAAAGCACUUUAAGUCGGGAGGAAGGGCUGUAGGCGAAUACCCUGCAGUUUUGACGUUACCGACAGAAUAAGCACCGGCUAACUUCGUGCCAGCAGCCGCGGUAAUAC